CUCUAAUGGAUCUAACAAGAGUUGUUGAUCUUCAGUUUUCUCAGCUUUUUUUCUUGUUGUGAGGAUGGUAGUGACAACUUCCAAGCUCUCUUUACAUGUUGGAUCAGAAACCAGAAGUUGGUGUCUUUUUAGUACAUCUUAGUUUGUGGACUGAGAUUUGUACCCACAUAGACUGAUCUCUAUGGGUAUUGUUGAAAAUUCCCUGGCAGCUAUUCAAUUCAUACAGUGGUCUCCCAGAUCUAGUUUAUAGGAACCUGAGGCAAAGGGACAUUUAAAGAAUGGACCUCACCUGUAUGUGACAAAGGUGUAGGGAAGACAGAAACAGAAUCUUGACAUGGAAUCUGGGUCUCUGAUCACCGAUCAGACUUCCCUGGGCAUAAUUGGGUGGUGGAUUUUUGGUUACCUGAGGACAUCCCUGUGUGUCCCUGCAGAGCACAGACUGAGAUUCAAAGUUUGAGUGAGCGCUGGAACAGUGGCCCAGUGGCCCCCUGUCUGCUGUGCCUUUGCAGUGGUUGAUAUGUAUAAAGGAAGAGGCUUUCAUGGGAGAAAUUAUUUUGUACAGGUCCUGGGAGAAAUUGGAAUAUGCCACUUGUCCCCAAGCUAGGACACAGGGAUGAUGUCUCAGAGAGAGUAGGUAAAAGAUGAAAAGACUUCAUUUGUGUGGCAUGGAGGAUGGAGCGCAAGCAGACCUGUUUCUAGCACACGUGGGCACUUGUCUCAGAGGUUUGCAUUUGAGCAGGAGGCUCGUGGUGUGGGUGAAUAGUGCCUCGAUGAUGGCACGUUGGAGGCUGUGUGAAGGGGGAGGAGAAUACCUUUUCUUCUCACCGUAUCACAGAGGGGUCCUCCUUCACGUCUGAGGGUAUUUCAAGCUUUACUCCACGCACCCCCAUUUUUGGUUAACACCUGAGUCACAAGUGUUUCUAAAGACCAGUCUGGCCACAACUAGAAGGACCUACAACUAAAAAUACACUACUAUGUGCUGGAGGGAUUUGGGGAGAAAAAAAAUCAGGAAAAAAAAAAAAAAGACCAGUCUCUUUUCCCUCUGCUGACAAAUUUCUAGGGGCAUCAGUCUGUUCAUCUGUCAAGAAUGUGGAGGAACAGACAUAGAAAUUGCGUUUUCCAACUGAACUGGCUGUUAAUAAUUGGUCUGGUACCAUAAGUCACUAUGUUCUAUUUAGUUAAGGAACUUAUCAGGACAAAAAGAAGGAGACUUCUUGGCCAGCAGUCUGUUUAUCUUAUAAAUUAGUCUGAGUAAAAGCUAAAAGAAAAGGUAGGGGUACAUGCUGUUACUCAGCCUGGAGACAUCUGGUCAUAUGCCGAGCCAAACCCAUGUCUGUGUUUCGGCUCGACAAGCUUGGUGCUGUUCCUUCCAUGGUAACGGUUACAGAAUGUCCUUGGGUGGUGCCCAUGGAAGCUGGCUUGAAAAAGGAUGUGGGAGAAUGAAGAGGCCAUCAUCUAUUUCUUCAUUGUUUGGUGCAUUCUUCAUCCUCAUGGGCAUUCUCUAUGUCAGGCGGCUGCUCAGGCGCAUUCCAGUUGUGAAUGGUCCUGAAUGACUUCGGUGACCUUUCAGAGGGAUCUCGGCAGUACACCCCAAAGCACAUGAUCCUUGAAGGCUUCCCAAAUCCGUUGGUGCCAAAAAGAACCCAGCAUUUGGUGACUGUGAGUGAUGCUGAUCGUUCUGAAGAGCUUAUUGUGCUGUACCAACCGUCGUUCUGAUAAUCUGUAUAAUGUCUUAUUUCCUCUGCCUGAAUCUAAGCUCCUUGAGGCCAUGUCUCUUCCAUUUCUGUAUUUACCAUAUAGCCCAAAACUCAUGCGAAUGCACACUGAUUUCAUUUCUUUCUCUGAUAAAGUGAAAGAACCCAAAUUGUAUCUAUUGACUCAUCCUUAGCUUCACACACAUGACUUUCAAAUUUUGUUUUUGCCUAGCGCUCUCUUUUGUAGGACUGAAAACAAUGGUUUUGCUAGUACUGUGCUUAGCCGAGCAUUAAUGGCUCACACCACUGGGGGAGACACAUGAGUUGAUCAGUCCUAUAGGGAGGCAUUCUGCCUGUAAUUGUCAGGAAGGGCCCGUGCUUCUUUCAAUGAUGGCUGUGUUGCUGCUAAUAAUGAACCAGUCCUUGCUCUUGCUUGUCUUGACUCAGAGGCUGGUGUCUAUACCAUGCUCCCUCUGCCUCUGCCCCCACCAGGAUUUAUAGGCAGGCAUGAGUCAUCUGACCACAGAAGGUGGCAUUUCCAUAGCAGGACAAAGAUUAGCUGGCAUGCUUUGGGUCACCUCACGGUGCUAAUGUCCUUCCGUGGAGAUGGGUCACGUACAGCAAUUGAAGUGAACUUGAGCCCCUCCUGGGCGUUGGUCUUUCACAGGGACAGACUGUGGAUAUCUGUCAAUUCUUUUGGAUAUAUUCCCAUCUGUAAGGGCAGAUAAGGGAUAAUAAGUUACUGACCUCAAGUUCUCUUCUUUUUGAUUUCACUACUUUGCUCCUUAAAUAGGAAUUGCUCAAACUUGGCUUCUCAAGAAUUUGCCCAAUGUUACCGGCUAGGGGUGUUUCCUUGGCUUAGAACCCCUUCCCCCACGUUAUUUCUCUGGCUAGCUUCUACCCUUUCUAUAGAGCUCGGCAGAGACAGCACCUCCUUUCUGAAAACUCCCCCAAUCCCAGGCAAGGUGAAAGCCUGAAAAUUGUUUUAUUUUUUUUUAAAUUGUGGUAAAAAGCAUAUAACAUAAAUUUACCCUCUUAAUUUCAUUUUUUAUUAUUUAUUUAUUUUAAAGCUUGGCACCUGAGCUAACAUCUAUUGCUAUUUUUUUUCUUCUUCUCCCCAAAGCCCCCCACUACAGAGUUGUACAUUCCAGUUGUAGGUCCUUCUGGUUGUGCUAUGUGGGACGCCGUCUCAGCAUGACUUGAUGAGCAGUGCCAUGUCCACACUCAGGAUCUGAACUGGUGAAACCCUGGGCUGCCUAAGUGGAGCGUGCGAACUUAACCACUCAGCCACGGGGCCAGCCCCUACCCUCUCAAUUUUAAAUGUAUAGCACAGUACGACUAUCUGUGCACACUCUUGCACAGCACAUCUCCAGAACUUUUGCAUCCGGGAGACUGGAACUCUACCCAUUAAACUGUACCAACUUCCCCUUUUCCCCUCCCCCCAGCCCCUGGAGACUUCCUUUUGAUUUCCUGUUUCUGUGAAUUUGUCUACUCUAGAUACCUCAUAUAAGGGGAAUCAUGUAACAUUUGUCUUUUUGUGACUGGCUUAUUUCACUCAGCAUGAUGUCCUCCAGGUUCAUCUAUGUCAUGGCAUAUGACAGGAUUUCCUUCUUUUUUAAGGCUGAAUAAUAUUCCAUUAUAUGCCUAUAUGACAUCCCACAUCUUAUCCAUUCCUCCCUUGAUGGUCACUUGAGUUGCUUCCACCUCUUGGCUAUUGUGAAUAAUGCUGCAAUGAACAUAGGGGUGCAAACAUCUCUUCCAGAUCCUAUUUUCAAUUCUUUUGGAUAUACACCCAGGAGCGGGAUUAUUGGAUCAAACGGAAGGACCUCCAUACUGUUUUCCACAGCAUCUGCACCAUUUUACAAUCCCACCAACCCUGAAAAGGCUUGGAUUGCAGCACUACCACACUGUUUGAGAGGUCUGUUUCCUUGGCUUCCUCCUUCGCUCUUUGCUGAGCAUCCUCAGGCAUGAAUUUUGACUUUUUAUGUUCGUACUCCCAGAGCCUAGCACAGAGCCUGCUCAUAAUGGGCACUAAAACUUUUUUAGGAAGAGAGAGCAAUGUAAAACCCAAUUCAAGUCUCACUGAGGCUGACUAUUAGGAUCACCUUAAAAAUGCUCUACUUUUUCAGAAUUCCUGUUGUAGUCCGAGUUAAUACCCAUGGUUUGGCACAAAUGGCUCCCUAGUUGUUUGUGUGCCUUAUCUCUUCAGAUGGGCUGUAAGCUCAUCCAGAGCAGAAUUGAUUCCUUAAACUUGUCAUACAUCCCUUGAUGCCUCUCUCACUGUGUACAAACUACAUGAUGGAUCUCUCUGCCUUUGUCCUCAAGACACUGUGUCUUACUCGCCUUACUUUCUCUGUCAUUUGACAUAGUGCCUGGCACAUAAGUGGUGAUCAAUAAUAUUUGUAUUUAUUGAAUAAGUAGUAGAUUCUGGAGCCAUGGGGAGCUAAGCUCAAGAUCAGUUUUCCAGUGAAAUCUUGCUCAAUGUUCCCAUGAAGCUCUCUUUCUCUGUAGGUGUGAAACGCUUAUCAGCAUAGGCUACCUUGAAACGUCAAAUCUGGCAUCUCCAGAAAGCAGCCCAUAUACUCUCCUGGGGCCAGAACAGCUCUGAAACUAAAAGGAAACUAAGCAUCUCAUCUCAAAGCAACUUUUCAUGCUGUUUUAUUGUUCACCACCACCCAGAAGCCUGCGCUUCAGCAAAGUCAGUCUUGUGAUGAAGGGUAGAAGUCAGGAGUUGUGUACAAUUGGAUCUGAUUUCUUCCUGAUUCGAGUUCUGGAUUCCUUUCAUAGUCCUUUCUGGAUUUGAGUUCUGGAUUCCUUUCAGAUUCCUUCCUGGAUUUGAGUUUUAGAAGCCUUGGCUUCUUGAGGGGAUUACGCCAUAGGCAGUAGAGAGAAGCUGUUGCCUUUGAGAGAAGGAUAAUUACUCAGGAUUUGGAAAGGGACAGGAAUCUGUGGAUCUCAUGAAUGGGGGGCCCUGGUCUUCUCUCUCUGGCAACAUCCAGAAAGGUGGGGAGGCCACUGAGGGGAAUGGCUAUGUGGUGUACCAUGGAGGCUGGACCCCAGCAGCUUGAAGCUACCAUCUUGCUGCAGAUUCCUCUGCCUGAGCUUGGCGAGGAAGCCACAGGCUGCCAGACUUCAGUGGGCCAUGUGGGUGUGAACAGAUGAAUGUUUUCUUCUGUGCGCCUUUUUAUAAACUUGGAGAAGAUGUUGAACAGGAGGAAGCACCACAAUUUGACUCUUCACCAUCUUAGUGACUUGGAGUUGACUUUGAUUUAAGAAAAUAAAGUAAUGUGAUGAUUCAUAGAUGCCUAGAUUACGAGACUAAGAUUUAUUCCCAGCACGUGAGUGAGGCAUCUGGCACGGUUCCUGGAUGUUUAAGGGACUUGACAAAGAUUAUUUUCCUUCACCUUUAUUUGUAGGGAAUGGUCCACGCAUACUCUUUGAUUGUUUGAGAUACAUCCUGAAAAAAUAUUGAGUGUUGAUCAAAAUUUGGGGGAAAAAUUGACUUCUUUUAAACGUACUAGGGAAGCACCUCAUUUCUUAAAGUGAGGAAUUCUUGUUGAAGAAUUCUUGUUUAAACGGAAUUCUGCUAAUCUGGGGUUUCAGAUAGUUCACUUAACGUGAUAACAAGGAGAUUACAGAAAGCUGUCUUUUAUUCUUUUUUUUUUGAAAAGCACUGCUUAUGUGACUGUGAGUGAUAACCUGACUCAGCAGGACAAUGAGUCUGCCUUAAAGAGCAGCUCAGCUCCAAGGUCUCACCCGGGAAUUGCUGUGUCAUGGGGGUAGGCCGCAGAGGAAAUAGAGUUCUGACUUAUCACAUCACUCCAUCUUGAUAAGGGGAGCCACACUUCAAAUCACUCCUUCUGUUAUGAUGAAGCUGCAGGAAAUGAGAGACCUCCUGAUUCCAGUGCCAAGAGCUGGGCUGAGGGUCACUUGCUUUGCUAUCUGCCCUAAGUGGUUAACGGCUGACCAACCUCGGAAGUUCCUCAUGACGCAGUUUAGCGACUGGAUUGUCAUUGUGCUUUCUCUACUUCCUCAUGGGAGAGGAAUAGAGAAGAGUGCUAGUUUUAUUAUUUGUACAAAGCUGACAUACUUAGUCUUUUCCCAUACCUGUCUUCCCUUCGGGUAGGAAGCCAAAGCAAAAAACAAAAAAAAAGAAGAAUCUUGGUUUUAAAGUGGUCCUUUCUUGGCUUCUGAACUGGAGAAGUCAUCUGUGGAACUCAGAAAAAACCUAGGGUGGCUGGAAGGGCUUUUGGAUAUCCUACAUGCCAGUACUUUCUUCAUGGGUAAAAAGGAAGCUCAAGGUGAUGUGACAUUGGGACACGCCGCAGGUAACAGUAGGACAGGGCUGAGAUUGCAAUCAGUCCUCCUGAUGACUGGGCCAGCACAUGUUGUCAAAAUCAAGCAUAAGAAUGGCCUUGGAAAGCACAAAUAUUUGGUUUUUAACGACUAUUUACUCAUUAUCUUUUUUUUUUUUUUUAAAACCAGCUUAACAUCUUUAAGGAUUUAUGGACUGCUAUAGUCUUAUAAGAGUAAUAAAUAUGUUAUAUAUUGUGUUGACUCAUUUACAAAGCUAGCAGAAACCUAAUACAAAAAAGAAGAAGAAAAAAGAGAUAAAAGUCUAGACUGGUUUCCUUUAUAAAUAGAGAAGUGAAAAUUCUAAUAAAAAUAUGAUUAGAUGGGACCACAUUGCAUUAUUGCUCCAUGCAAUGAUAGUUUAGUAUUAAAGAAUGCAAUGAAGGUUUAAUAUUAAAAGUUUUAUUAAGUUAAAUAUCACAUAGAUGGGUUCAGCACAAAAAGCUCAUGACUUCCGUAAACACUGAAAUAGCGUUUAUUUACUCUUAAUUACAAGAAAAGAAAUCAGGAAAAUGAGAAGUAAGCGGUUACAGUGAGUCCUUGCCCGUGCGCGGGGAGCAGAGUGAAGUGACCCAGGUGCACGGCCAUGCCCUGUUUUCCAUUCGCUGCUGGCUGGACUCGAAUGAAAAGGAAAGUCCAGAGGAGGACAGAACCACAAGAUGGCAGGAUCCUGGGUCCCUGAACUACCUCAUGCUCACGGACAAUGAGCACUUACUUCAAUCAGUUUACUGAACAAACAGUAAAGCUGUGUUAUGUUUGAGACACUGUGCAUUUCAGUCUGGUCCACGCAUCCCCACAGCUUAGCCUACUCUGGGCUGCAUCCCGCGUCAUCCUUCAGGCCUCUGUUCCAGUAAGUAAUUCUCUCCAGGACGCUGCUACAGUUAGAUCGAUUGUAUCUAACACGCUCUUUAAUCUCUCAAAACGUUUAAUUUAAAUUGUCAUGUAUUCUUACAUGUAUGAAACUUCGUCCCUUUUCAAAUAUGCUUGGUCAUCCCUUAUAAUGUCUUGUUCCUUGUUCUUGCUAUCAAGCUUCUCAUUAAUUUCUUGAAGGAUAGGAAACAAUUUUAAAAAAAUACUCUGUAGCAGAUAAUUCCAGCGUCUAGGAAGUCCCGGCCAGCCUGAUUCUGCUCUCUGUGGCUCUUCGCUUCCUUUCAGAUGCUCUGAUCUGCUCUCUUCUGUGUUCGGAGGUCCUUUUAUUGUGGGCUGCUGCUUUUCCUGGUGACUCUACCUGUGGGUUUCUUGGAGGCCUGGGCUGAAGUGUAUCUGUCUAGAGAACGUCUGCUUCUGCCAGCUGCCCGGGAGUGCUACCAACCCUGACCGCUUUAAAUUAAAGAUCCAAAUGAGUCUUUUCAGAGGACACAGUGCCAAGAUCAAGAUAAGCAAGUUCUGUGCCCUUUUUUUCAGGUGAAUCAUUGAACAAAUGCUUCAUCAUAUCCUGAAGAUAAAUUCCCGGAAGCGGAAUUGCUGGAUCAAAGGUUAAGCGUUGUUAAGCUGCAGGACUAGACUGCCUGGCUGAAAGGGCUCACGUGGGUUAGUCACCAUCACAUAAGAAGAAGUCUGACCUGGAAGCAGGGGCUUCCAUGGUCAGUUCCCGCCCCAAUGAAGUCACGAAGGACCAGGCUCUCCCUUCUUCCGGCUCUGCCAUCUUUCGUGUGUUGGCGAUGUCUCCUGUCCCAGGCUUUCCACCAUCCGGGACAUCCACCCUGCUCCUGCUCAUUCUCUUUUGCUGACUACUCUCCUGCUUCCUGACUUCUUCUCACAGAGCGAAGAACACGGAAAUCAGCCGUCAUCACGAGCAGUUUACACUGACCCUGCCCUGCUGAGUUCUUCCGCACGUGGACACACACGCUUGAACACAUCUUCUUGUGUAGUUGAGAUCACGUAGCACGGAUCAUGCUUUUCCACACAUCAUGUUUCAGAUACAGACCUAAGAUGGGGACCACAGCAACAUCAAACAGAUGGCAUACGUGCAGUGGAACGAAGGCUGCGGUCUGAACCUGUCUUCUCAGCAGGAACAUUCUGGCCCAGAACCUUCCCCUUCUCACUGCUGUCAGCCGAGUGGGCAAGUAAAUAUACGCAUCUGUGACGUUUAGAGGGAAUUUGAACAAUUUCCACAAGUCACUUUUUGGAAGACUGUUUUUCCUAUGAAUUUUAACACAAAAUGUACAAACCAGCUUACUAACUCUACUUUUGUAGGCACUGGCAACCUCUUUAACAUCUAGAAAGACUGGGUAUUAUAAAAUUAGGACUCACUUGUCCCUGAUAUAAACUAUAUGCACAGCAAAGGAAAACGAAAUGCAGACCCACGGGACAGUGGUCAAGCUCGCCUUACGACAGACACGUUGGCACAGAGCCCUCUGCUCUUCCCUCUCAUCUGUCUUCUCUCAAACCGGGACACAAAGGCAAUGUGCCCUGUCCAAAGAGGCCGUUCCAUUUCCUAAGGACACUGCUUCUAAUGAAUCUUAACAAAAAGACAUUUAGAAAAUGUGUCACUUUACUGCUGUGCUUUUCACAUUUUUCAGGUACUUUAGAGCAUCAGGAAAGAUCAGAUAUCUCAAAAAAGUACUUGUUGUGGUCAACUCCAUGUGCCUUAGUGAAGAAUAAAAUGGGCAUGCAGAACAAGGGUUAUAGGGUGAAGAUGUCUUCUAAAUAGGACUUCUGUGGCACAGACCACUUCUGAACUCUGAGCUCAGCUGUAGCCCAAAUUCUGGAGCUUUCACAGACCCCCUAGAGCUCAUUCUAGAGGUUCCUUCUAGAGGGUCACAGAGUUCAGGCUAAGAUUUUUAUGCACUUCUUACUCCUUCCACAAUGGAUUCGCUAAAGGAGAGAAGGCCUCCAGCUAACCCUUUUAGUGCUUUCCAACUGGGGCUCUGCCUUGGAGAAGUGCAUUUCCAGUUAUUGAGCCAUCGUUUUGCCCUGGGUCUCCUCCCAGGAGAGAAAAGCGUUUGACUCCCAAGGUUCCCGGCAUUUUUGAAAGAACUCUAAGCCACAGCCAGCUUUACCCUGGCAAGUCAUUCCAUCCCCUUUCUUUCCCUCUUUCCUUUCCCAUGGAACGACUCCUUCCAUCUGUCUUUCAAACUCUGCUUUAUAAAUAGGAAUUCAAGUUUUAUUUUCUUCUUGAAUGCACUCUCUCCGUGAAAGAGGCUUUCCACCAAGAAUGUGGUGUCUGAUCGCUAUCUUGCCAACGGGUUUAACAAAGAUCUCCAUGGUGGGUAAACUUUUUACAGAUCUAUUCACACAUGCCUCUUCUUCUCGCACUUGGCUAAAACCAACAACACAUUCAUCAAAGAAGAAGGGGUGAAAAAAUCCUUCUCCAAGGUAAUUGAGAAAUAACUUUGACAGAAUUUGAUAAAAUUAUCUCCAUUUUCCAUCUGGUUUUUCUGGAAGGCAUUAAUUCAGAUAGACACUGAGCACAAAGCAGGUCAUAGAUCUACAUAUGUGAAAAGUAUAAGUGAAUACAUCUACUCAGGCUAUUUAUCACCAAAUGUUCAAUAAUCUGAAGUUCGAAAAACUCAGCUAAUAACUGGUAUGUGCUGAAAGUUUUCAAAAAACUAAGAGCAUCUAGCUCGAGAGAAGACCAACGACACAGAAACUCAUUCAGGAGAAUUUAAAACAGAAGAGGAGGAAAGUGCGCACUGGAGACUGUACCUACUGACAAGAUCGGGCUGGUUGGCAUGCACCCCUGACAGCUUAAACACUGGACAAAUGGGAAGCAGCUGCCCAGCCCAGAGGCCUCCUGUGGAUUACGUUCAUCUGUGCGGCAAACAGCAACAGCUCUGUUAUAUUCUUUCUAAGCCAGGGGUUCUCACUUUGACCACAUGUUAGAAUCGUCAGUGGAGCUUAAAUGCCCCAUAGCAGAGUCUCUGGGUACGGCCGUGUAUCAGCAUGUGUAUUUUAAGCUGCCCAGGUAAUUCCAAUAUGCUGGCAAGGUUGAGAACUCCUUGAUGAAAAUUCAUAAUUUAUUAAGCACCUCUCAUGUGUCAGGCACGUGUCCGGUACUGUGUCAGAUGCUGUUAUGGACUGAACAUUUAUGUUGCCCCCAAAUUCAUAUGUCAAUGAAGGUUUUGGUGAUGGAAUUUGGAGGUGGGAUCUGAGGGAGGUGAGUAGGUCAUGAGGGUGGAGCCCCCAUGUUGGGAUUAGCGCCCUGAUAAGAAGAGCUACUAGAAGCUUGCUUCUUCUCUCUACUCUCCACCACGUGAAGACACAACAAGACAGACGAGGGCCAUCUGCAAAUCAGGACGCGGCUCUCACCAGACUCUGGAUCUGCUGGCACCUGGGUCUUGGACUUCCAGCCUCCAAUAGAGUCACCACCCAAGCAAACCUGAAGAUUGUGUAGCCACCCAAUUCUGUGUAUUUCCCAGAGCCAGAAGCUGCACAGCAGCCAUGGAAAGACUGAAGUUUGGCGCCAGUUUUGGCUCUGCCGUUAAUUCAUUCAGGACAACCUCGACACUGGUCUGGAGAGAAAGCUGGAUCCUGUGCAAAUAACUAGAGCGCAGCUAAGGGGAAGUAAAACGUGCUACUGAGGCAGGAAACGUCGGCACGUCACACAGCCUAUGCUGGACAGUCAAGGAGGGAUGUGUGAAAAGAAGCUUGUGUCUCCAGUAAAUGCAACCCAACAAGGUGGAAACCACUACUGUCACUGCUUUACUGAUGAAGAAAAACUCGGGUUCUAGGAGGACAAAUAGCUCAGUGAAGCCUGGGGAGCAGCGGUCCCAAAGCUCUGAUUCCUACACGUUUUCCUGCUGAGUCACACCGGCUGCUGAGACGUCGCCAGAGGACCUGACAGCCCCUUUAGGACUUGGACUCUAUUCUGCAUUGCUGGACGAUAAGCAGCUUUUUUCUUAUCAGUUCUUAAGAAAUGUGCAGCUUACACUGAUUAAAGGUGAGGAAGCCAGGGACAUCGUGAGCACUGCGCAGCCCCGAGGGUGGCUCUCAUACCUAAAGUGAUCACUCACCUCUGUGCCGGAACAUCUAGUUUCCAGCAAUUUGCAGACGGUAAACACCCAGAGGCAGAGCCGGGGCGGAGGAGGGGCUCAGCUUCUCCAGGACACUGUAAUCAAACCCACACUGAGGAAUUUGCUGCCAGCCACUUCGUCAAAACCAGACAAGGCUGCCUCCUGGGCGAUGUCUUCUACUUGGAAACCAGGAAAGGAGGCAAGGGGUUCUAGCGUGUUCUCUUUAUAGAAGGAUCCAAGUGGCUUGAGUGUACCAUCUGAUACCCCGAGUCUGGCUUAGCAUCCAGGUCUCCAUCACUGCUCUGCUGCCCUCAGAGCUGCCUAGGGUCACUGGACCACCCAGCUCACUGCUGACAUUAGGGGGAGUCUCAGAUGGGACCUUUGAUAGCCACAGAAAAGGCUUCUCACCACGCUAGUGGCUUGAGCGAAGCUGGGAGAGGUAAUAUAUGGAUAUUUCAUAUAGAAUACCGGCGAUUUUUAUCUGUGGACAUCUUAUUAUUGCACCCAGCGCACUGUAUUGCAAUCCAGUGUUUAUCUCCCCGAGUGGAAUGGAAACAGCUAUAGGGCUUGAAUUAUGCAAAUUUAUUUUUGUGUCCUCAGUGCCUGGGACAUGAUUGGUGUUCAGUAACUGCUUGAAUGAAUGAAUCAGUAAUGAUUAGCCUCAGCAAUACUUUGUUCUUAAAAUGAGACACACAAAUAUUUAUUUUUUCUAAAGUACAGUUUCUAGGCCAACAGAGAUGUGUGAUAAGAAGGCUUCUGAGAAGAGUCUUCAUGAUUUUAUAGUCUUCAUGGUGAGAGAUAAGACACAAAGGUACACAUGAAGGAAAGAGAAGACACCAGGCUACAAAAGCCAAAAGCCGGAAAAAAAAAAAACACCCACCAAACCCCCAAAUAAACCCCUCUCCCUCCCAAAAAAACCCAAAAAAGCAGACUGUCUAGUAAAAAGUACCCACAGAUUCUGAUAAUCCAGCCACGAUGGUCACAGUUUUAAUAGUAAGAAUAAAAAGUACACACUUCUUCCCUUUCCUUGCCAAGGUUGAAGGCAGAAUCUUUACCAUUGUGAGGGAGAGAGCGUGAUACUGGACGGAAACUGAGGCGGGCAACAGCUAGAGGCCUUGCUCAAAUUGUCCCAAAGGUCAGAUAAAAAAUUCUCUGCAGUGCCAAAUUCUUUGCCGGUGGACUUUUUUCCAUACUGAUUGCUGAAUAAGGUGCAGAUUUGCUUGUCCUGGAAGUAGUUUUCUUUCUGGCAAAUCUGUGCAUUUAGGCAACUCUGUGUUUGGCCGUCUCUCACUUGCACUUUUUUGAGCUGUUCUCCUUGUUUGUGUCCUGGCCACCCCCCCACCCAAGGCUUCACUGCUCCCCUUCUGGCAGGUCCUCAAAUCACAUACUGACAAUACCUUAAGUGUUAAUUACCCCGUGCAGCUGGCCUUUUAACCAGGGAACUCCCACACCUUGAAGAUCUUUCUGAUCCAGGAUGUUGACUAAACUCAGUGUGGUCAUCAUUUGACCAUCUGUACAUAUAUCAAAUCAUUAUGUUGUACAACUAAGACGGAUACAAUGUUAUCUGUCGAUUACAUCUCAGUAAAAAUACAAGCAAAUAAGAUGUUUAAUAGUAAAAUGUUAAGGUGGGUGGGUGGGAAGGCAGAAAUUUUGGAAGAGGGCGUUUGCCUGAUGUUUU
rnacentral:lncRNA from 1 species